GACGAACCGUCCUAACGUUGUUCGGAAUCACUGGGCUUAAAGGGCGCGUAGGCGGGCCGCCAAGUCCGGGGUGAAAUCUUUCGGCUUAACCGGAAAAGGGCCUUGGAAACUGGCGGUCUCGAGGGGGGUAGGGGCCUGUGGAACUUCGGGUGGAGCGGUGAAAUGCGUUGAUAUCCGAAGGAACGCCGGUGGCGAAAGCGACGGGCUGGACCCCUUCUGACGCUGAGGCGCGAAAGCCAGGGGAGCAAACGGG
rnacentral:rRNA from 1 species